rnacentral:rRNA from 1 species
UUUAUGGAGAGUUUGAUCCUGGCUCAGGAUGAACGCUGGCGGCGUGCCUAAUACAUGCAAGUCGAGCGAACGGACGAGAAGCUUGCUUCUCUGAUGUUAGCGGCGGACGGGUGAGUAACACGUGGAUAACCUACCUAUAAGACUGGGAUAACUUCGGGAAACCGGAGCUAAUACCGGAUAAUAUUUUGAACCGCAUGGUUCAAAAGUGAAAGACGGUCUUGCUGUCACUUAUAGAUGGAUCCGCGCUGCAUUAGCUAGUUGGUAAGGUAACGGCUUACCAAGGCAACGAUGCAUAGCCGACCUGAGAGGGUGAUCGGCCACACUGGAACUGAGACACGGUCCAGACUCCUACGGGAGGCAGCAGUAGGGAAUCUUCCGCAAUGGGCGAAAGCCUGACGGAGCAACGCCGCGUGAGUGAUGAAGGUCUUCGGAUCGUAAAACUCUGUUAUUAGGGAAGAACAUAUGUGUAAGUAACUGUGCACAUCUUGACGGUACCUAAUCAGAAAGCCACGGCUAACUACGUGCCAGCAGCCGCGGUAAUACGUAGGUGGCAAGCGUUAUCCGGAAUUAUUGGGCGUAAAGCGCGCGUAGGCGGUUUUUUAAGUCUGA